UACGUAGGGCGCAAGCGUUGUCCGGAAUUAUUGGGCGUAAAGAGCUCGUAGGCGGUUUGUUGCGUCGGCUGUGAAAUCCUGAGGCUCAACCUCGGGUCUGCAGUCGAUACGAGCAAACUAGAGUGUUGCAGGGGAGACUGGAAUUCCUGGUGUAGCGGUGAAAUGCGCAGAUAUCAGGAGGAACACCGGUGGCGAAGGCGGGUCUCUGGGCAACAACUGACGCUGAGGAGCGAAAGCGUGGGGAGCGAACAGG
rnacentral:rRNA from 1 species